rnacentral:tRNA from 1 species
GGCGUCGUGGCCGAGUGGUUAAGGCGACAGACUUGAAAUCUGUUGGGCUCUGCCCGCACAGGUAAUCCACACCUGUCGGCGACG